rnacentral:misc_RNA from 1 species
ACCCCAAAUCGAGGCCAGCCAGGGGCACCGCCACCAUCACUUCACCGCCGCCGUCGACUUCACUCUCUCUCACUCCCAAACCAAGCUACCUUCCGCCCAUGGGCCCACCGCCGCGCCGCCGCCAACUCCUGCUGUCUCUCGCGCUGCCCGCGCGUGGAGCGGAUCGUGUCGGACGCCGUCGCCGCCAAGCAGCGCGCCAACCCGUCCACGGCGGCGGGCACGCUGCGGCGCCGGAGCGCGCCGCGGAGAUCAACCUCUCCCUGCCCGGGGACGCCUUCGACGCCGUGGCCCGCGCCAAGGCGGCGCUGGAGGCCGAGUGCCCGGGCGUCGUCUCCUGCGCCGACGCGCUGGCGCUGGCGGCGCGCGACCUCGUGGCCGCCCUGGGCGGGCCCCGGUUCCCCGUCGCGCUGGGCCGCCGCGACUCCCGCCGCUCCGACGCGCGCGACGUCGAGGGCAACCUGCCCCGCACCAACAUGUCGGCGCGAGCCAUGGUGCGCCUCUUCGCCCGCAAGGGCCUCUCGCCCCGGGAGAUGGUGGCGCUGGCCGGCGCCCACACCGUCGGCUUCUCCCACUGCGCCGACCACGACCCGCGGCUCAACCCGGAGUUCGCGCGCGCGCUGCAGCGCUCCUGCGCGGGAUACCGCACCGACCCCACCGUCUCCAUCUUCAACGACAUCGUCACGCCCCGGGACUUCGACGAGACCUACUACAAGAACCUGCCCCACGGCCUCGGCCUGCUCGCCUCCGACGCCGCCAUCUGGGAGUACCCGCCCACCAGGGUCUUCGCCCAGCGCUACGCCGCCAACCGCACCGCCUUCUUCGAGGACUUCGCCGCCGCGAUGCAGAGGCUCGGCGCCGUCGGCGUCAAGACGGGGCGCCAGGGCGUCGUCAGGCGCCGCUGCGACGCGCUCGACUGAGUGUCGCGAUGCUUGUUGUGCCAUUGGGUCGGUCGAUCGUUGUAAGGCUUCGAAUUCGAUUACGGGAUAUGAGAGGCUCUUCUUUCUCUGUACUUGGAAAAUGGGGCGUGAGUGGUAACUAAAGUGAUGAACUGAGGGCAAGCUAAUUCUAAAUUGCAUGUCAAUUGCAAUAGGGUUACAUUAAGACUCAGGCUGGGCAACCGUGGAUGACAAUUGCUGAAACCUCACACCAUGAGAUGAUGAGACUAGAGAUGUUAAUGGCCCUGAUUCCUCACGGGAAAAUUCUUAGAAACACAUGGAUGUAAACGUAGAAAAAAAUCUCCCCCAACAGAUAAACGGAGACAAAAAAAACAUUCUCCUGUUUCCUGCGGGGACAUAAUAAACUUACAUAUAACGAU